ACAAUAACAAUGGCGUCUGCGUUUAGGAAGAAUGUAUUCUACACUAUUUACAGACGAAGUUUGAUACAGCAGAGGACUUUCUCAUCAGACAGAAAUGUAUUUUCUAGGUGUUUGAAACACAGCAAAGUCGUUAUAGCUGGCUUGUCGACAGCUUCUUUUAUUUGUUUGAGUGCAGUUUACGCGAAGCGAAAUGGGAUUCAAGUUCUUCAUGCAGGGGGAGAGGAGGAUUCAGAGAAGAAAAAGACGUCACCCACGUACAGAGAAAUGAGGUUUCUGCAGUUUGCUUCAGUGGAGUACAAAGGGGUCAUCUACAUGACUCCCCAGGACUUCCUGGAAUCUGUCACAGAGGAAAUGCCACGACCAAGAAUUGGAAGAGCCAGCUUAACGGAUGGUGAAGUUGCUGGCUGGUUGAAGCGUACUCCAAAUCGGCGCUACGGCAGUACCAAACUAUUUCGCAAUCUCCAUGACAAAGGUCUGAUCUCCUACACAGAGUACCUGUUUCUACUAUGUGUCCUAACAAAGUCCAAGUCGGGUUUCCGGAUAGCUUUUAAUAUGUUCGAUACUGACGGGAACCAGAUCGUGGAUAAAAAAGAGUUUCUGGUGUUGGAAUCCUUCUUCACUCUUCCCCCUCAGGAAAGGAAAUUUGUUCCCAGAGAACAGAAAAAAUUACAAGCCUUACUAAAUGUAAACAUUACAUUUAUCUAGUCUUAUACAGCUUCACAAACUAUAUAUACAUGUAUGUAGGCUAGCCUUGCCCAAGAACACACACAUAUAUCUCAUGAGCGGCAGCUAUUCAGACGCAUGCUUCAGUUUUGGGGAGAAUUAUUUUAAUAUGCAUGAAAAGUAACACUGAAAAAUGACUUGCCAGCAUGCUUUAGUUAUUUGAUGAUGGCCUGAGGGUGAGAGUGAACCCCCGGGGCAGGAGCAGAGCUUGAGAGUGUUUUCAGUAAGAAAGAAGAUGCACCAAAUAAUGAAGACCCACUGAGCAAGUCUGUGGAGCCGGUACAAGAUACCACCUUGCUGGUUCAUUUCUUUGGCUCAAAAGGCAGAGAUGUUCUCAAAUACGAAGACUUCCACAGUUUCAUGGAGAACCUCCAGUCAGAGGUGAUAGAGCUGGAGUUCCUGGAGUUUUCCCGGGGACUGGCCACCAUAUCCGAGGAAGACUUUGCCCGGAUCCUGCUGCGGUACACCAUGCUGGACAGCUCCAACAUCGAGGAGUGUAUCAAACGAGUCCGCAGUCGCACCCCCAGCGAAAAGGGAGUUUCGUUUGAAGAGUUCCGGAAGUUCUGUCAGUUCCUGAAUACACUUGAUGACUUCAGCAUCGCCAUGAAGAUGUACACAUACGCUGACCAGGCCGUCUCCAAGGAGGAUUUCCAGCGGGCGGUGUUUGUGUGCACGGGAUCUAACCUGAGUCCCCACCUGGUGGACACCGUCUUUAACAUCUUUGAUGCAGACGGAGACGGACAUCUUAGUUAUAUGGAGUUUAUCUCGAUCAUGAAGGAUAGACUUCAUCGCGGAUCUAGGUCCCAUCUAAUGCAUACCCAGGAUAAAUGGACUGCAUUCAAAUACUGCAUCAAAAACGAGAUGAGGACGUAUCACUAGACAGCAGAGAACUGACAGAAUCUCAAGAGAGAAUACAUAUUUGAUUCUUGUGAUGAGAAUGAUUUUAAUAGCUGACUUUGGAGUUUGACAUAUCAACUUUAACCUGAGAUUCCUGGGUGACCUGUACUGGCCGGACUGUUGUUGAUGUGAUGACCACAUUUUUGUGAAUAUUUGUAUCAUCAUGUCACCAAAUUCUCCACACUGCCUUUGAAUACUUAGUCGCUCAAGAAGUGAGUGAAUGAAGUGAGAAUAUAACCAUAUCCAAACAGCACUCAGACAAGGGUAGCUGGUCAUUCAGGAGGCAUUAUUUCUGUUUGUGUUACCCUGGAGGACUGUUAGUGUAUUAUGAAUACUGGCAUUCUCCUGUUCCCGCUUUCUCUCUGUGAUAACCUCCAUUUGGCAAGGGAGACAAUUCAUUGCAUUAUGUAACUGUUAAGUUUUGUAGAUGUUUUUUAUUCAUUUAUUGAACUGUUUAUUGGCUUUACCUAUGAGUUUGUCUCCCUUGCCAGUGUUUCGUUAUUUCGAUCGUGUGUAGUAAUUUGUUAUUUUAUGUAUAAGAUCACAACUGUCCUUAAUUUAUUAUAUUCAAUAAAUUCUAAAAGCU
rnacentral:misc_RNA from 1 species